rnacentral:lncRNA from 1 species
AAGACGCUCUUGUGCUGGCCCGUGUCAUCAUCAUUCUUAUCGUGGAUUGCCAACGUCAAUCGCCUCGACAACAACCACAUCCACGACUCCGCCGUUCCAAUAAUUUUGCCGCGCCGCUCUUCAAAUCCGAGUCCUCGUCCGUAGGAUCGUCGUUGACCUCGCAACUUCAGCUCGAGUUAAUUAUGGUGAGUUGAUCUGUUAUUCCCGUCAACUAAAUAAAUGGUUGGAUUAAAUAGAUGCAUCUAUUGCGAUGAUUCUCUUGUCUAUUAUUUGAUGUGGAGGUUAAAGUUGAAUUUCGGGUUUAUGUGAUCAGUGUAUUGGUAAAAUAUAUGUGGUGUGACGAUGCUCUACUUGAUAGAUUAAGUAUAGUGUGAUGUUUUAUUAGUUAGGAUAUUUUAAGGAUUAAUUCAAAAGAGUGGUUUAAAUAGUUAGUUAAGUUAUUUCGGUCCAUACUUCGAGUUUCGUGUUCCAAAAUAAUGAGUCUAAGUAAUUAGUCUUCUAGUAUUACGCUUUAGUCAAAUAGAAAGGUGGAACUCAUAUGGUCUAUUGUUUUCCUAAUAAAUGAAUCUAGGUUUGAUAGUCUUCUGUUGUUGGGCCUUAGCUAAGGAAAGUAGACGUGCGUAUAAUUUAUUGUUCCUUGAUGUUUGAGUUAAAUUUGGUAAAACUAGAAAAUUGUGAUUGUUGUGUUUAGUGAGUUAUAGGUGUCUAGUGCUUACGUAGGAUUGUGUCGAUGUCUUGCCGCUAAGUAUUUGAUUCUCUUUUCUACAUCAUCCGGUUACUUUAUGCUCAUACAUGUGCAUCGUGCAUCUCAUGAGGUACGAUAAAUAAUCGCGUGAUGCGGAAGACGAGCCAAGUCGACCUCAAGUGUGGGCUACUCCGCAUGGUGAUACUGAUGGACGAACCUGCCUGAUCAAGUGCUAGGACAAGGAUGAUCAUCAAGUGGACGUCGCCUAACAACACUAACCUAGUGUUACUCAGGCAAGCCCCGGUGCAUUUGCCACCUCCUUGCUGUUUUAAAAUCUUUAUCACCUUAUAUGAUGCAUUAGGUGAUAGGAGUUGUGUGCUAAACCGUUGAUGCAUUUCCUUCCUUGGAACAUUGAUUUCCCUUCCUUGAUACCCUUUUUGAAAAGAAUUUUAUGAUGCUUAGCCUUGCUUUAGCAAACAAAACUAUUUUAUUUUAAAACAAAAGUGAUGCUUCAAUGGGUGGGAAUGUUUUCAAAAAGAAAAACUUGUGAUGGUGGAUCCAUCAGGGCCAUGAUGGGUUCAACAUCGGAAAAGAUGUACCUCUGUCAGGUACCAAACUUUGGGUUGAAAAUAAUAAAGCUGAGACCGGACGGUUGACUUGCACGAGAAGGGAGUCUCGGUGUAGUGUCUCCGUCUGAGUCGAUCAAGGACCGUCUCGAUGUAGGCUUGCUGAUCGAGGACCUUUUAACUGGUCACAUGCCUCAUCAUGGGUAAACUUUGCCUCGGGCAGACUAAUACCAGAAUAAGAUAACACAUAAUGGGAGUGGAGAGAUGGCGAGAGUAGCGUGUACCCUCGGUGGCAAGAGGCUGGACGGUGGUGUAUCUGUGCUCUCGGUUGGCGUGAACCUGAUCUGAUCUUAAGAAACCCGGUGGCGAGUUGACAUAUGCAAGGGUUAAGUGCUACAUAUGUCGUGUGAUUGGAGAUCCCCAGCUGGAUAUUAAUCGAUUCAGAUCGCCGUUACUUCUUGGACAUGAACACUUGGUCACUGCCCUACACGUAGCAAUCCAGUGAACUGAAGGGUUGAUAAAAAGACGGCUAGUAUAGGCCAAGUGCUUGAACUAGGGUAGAAAGAACUCUAGAUGCAGAUAACUUUACUUAACCUGACAAGUAAAAAUGGAUUUUUAAGGAUCCACUCAUAGUAAGCUUUUCGGCAAACAGAGUCCUUGAUUCUUGAUAAGCCAUACCUUGAACCCUUUUGUAACCAGCAUACCCUUGAGAGUCUUUUCUUUAGUCGGGUAAGUCUUGCUGAGUACUUGUGUACUUAGGGUUUUACCCAUUGUUGCUGCAGGUCGCGAGUCACUUUGGUUGUGAUUGGUGUUAAGCGCCGGUGGGCACGACCUUCUUAUAAGUAUAAGUACUUCUUCUAUACUUCUUAUUGAGGAUGGUCACUUGAGCUAGCAUAUAUUUCAAAACUACAAAUAAUUUAUAACUGUUCAAAGUUCCUUCGUUGAAUCACUUUUGUAAUCACUCCGAUCAUGUAUAAAGUAAAAUUUUUGUAACUUGUAAAAUUUGGUAAUAAGAUUUCCGCUGCAAAAAUGUUGGUGUGUGUGAUUUGUGUUACUUAAUCUUGUAAUCCUGGUUAUAAGUGGUUUAUCCGGGGUCCUUGGGACACUCGAACGGAUCCUGUUAAGUUAUUUGGUGCACAUGCACAGCCAUGUGAGGUCUUUGAGACAAGGACAGGUGCAUGUAGGCCCAAUAACUUGGGAGGUUCUGCCACAACGGCAGUACAUGCAACACAUAAUUAUACAUUAGUAUAGACCUUAGCAACACAUAUAUGAUCUUUUCGCAACACAUAUAUGCAUUGCUAAAGGGAUGGUUGUUUUGUAGUGGAUGUAGUGAGGGUUUCUUCUCGAACCUUUGUCCUUUUGACUUCAACUCUUUGGGAGACUUUCCUAUGACUUAGACACAUAUGAUUAAAGUAUAAUCCUUUUGACUAAGUCCCAGAAAGUUACCCUUUUUUCAAUCUCUCCCUAGAUUUUCUAGUUCUCCUCAAAUAGAGACCUGGAUGACACUUUCUCUACAAAUCGAUUUAAAGGGAAAACCAAAGUGGUAUAUGCAUAGUAAAAGGUGUAUGCAACAUAGUGAAACACUCAAACCUUACAUACUUAGCCUUUUUCAUCAUUUUUCUCCUUUUGACAUGUUUGAGCUUGGGAUUGAACUCCAAAUCAUUAAAUUGACAUAACUUGAUCUUGAUUGUUGACCAUGAGCUCCAACACCCUGCAAUGGUCACAUAUAACAUUUCCAAACACAAGAAUGACCCAAACUAAAUGUCAAAGUGAACUUAGGUCCGUUGGGUCCCUUCUAGGUUCUGGAUUUGAUAAUUCUCUUUCUUUUGACCAUGUCCUACUCCUUGAGCUAUGAUAUUGAGCCUUGUGAUUUAAACCAUAAACCAUAAGAAUUACCUCAAGGGUUCCUUAUGUAGCAAUGCUCAAUGUGUCAUGACCUUCCUCAGCUGAUGAACCUUGACUUCUACAAAGCCUAUUCUUCACUUUGGGUUUAGGUACCAAAGUCACCUUGACCUUCUCCCUUGCUCUAGUACCUCGAAGAUCUACGUGCCUCUGUUCUUGGUUUCACUCAGUUGACUCCAAGUCAUGCACAUUGAUUCUCACAUAAUCAAUGUCCAUCCUUCACUUAGCUUGUGAUGUCCAUUAUCCAUAGUCAUCUCAGCCUUUGGACCAUCACACUUAAUCUUCUAUGUUGAACCUUAUGAGCUUUGCACUAAGCAUAUGUUCAACACUUAGCAACACAUGUCAGUCCUUUAAUUAGGUUUUCAUCCAAACCACCAAAAACCACAAGGGAGCUUUCAAUCUCCCCCUUUUUGGUGAUUUAUGGCAAUACAUUUAAAGCUUACAAAUGAUAGAAAUUUAAAUCAUGAUUUUGAAUCCUAAGCUAUAGAAUGCUCCCUAAUUAUAUGCUUACAUGGAAAUCUCAACUUUGGCCUCAAAUGCCAAAUUACACAUACUUAGGUUAAGUGCAAAGCAUUACUACAUCUCAACAUCCAUGAGGUGCAUUGUGUUAAAUAUCAAAUUGUGAUGAUUAUGACACCCAAAUGCACACAAUCAACAUUUUGCACCAUACAGUCGUCUUAUAGACACCAAUUAAAAUGAUAUUACACCAGAAUCAACCAAUCAAGAUAGAUGAUAAAGAUACCAAUUAAACACCAUAUGAACAAUACAUAUCAACACAUGAAUAUCUAUCAUCAAGAUAAUCCAUAAGCACCAUAGAUAUGAAAUCACACAUAGACACCAAUUAAUCUUAAAUUCAUAUUAGCUAAAUAUGAUGCUAUACACCGAUGAUACUAAUUAAAGCACAAGCAUCAACAACUACAUAGUACCAGCAUCAUUAACACAACUAAUUCUUUAACACCAAAGAAUAAAAAAUAAGAUCAUGAUAAGCACUAUCAACAUUACUAAUGCGUUCUCCACCUUAAGAUCAAAAGAAACUCAAGGAGACUUCCCACCUUUAACAAGGUGAGCUCAUCCUCAUCACAAGGCUGAGCUUUGAACUCUUUAGUGCACAAAACACCUUCACCCUUAAGACAAGCUUUCCUCCUAGGUCGAGGUAAUCUUUAAUGUAUACUUCUCCCCCUUGACAUCAAACACCAAAACCUUAUCUCAACCAAGAACAUAGUAUGAUGUCAAGGGACAAUAGGGAAUGAAGCAAGGAAAUGCAACACACUAACAUUACUCCCCUUACAACUUAAACAUAUGCAAUAUAAUCAUCAGAAAGGAUCAAGGUACAAAUACUCAAAAUAAGAGUGAAAAUACCUCUUUUUGUACCAUUGUGUCGUUUACCAAGUGAUGGUGCCCUUUUUUGACUGAAGGUUCCCUUUUCAUCCAUUGAAAGGUUCCUUUUCAUGGAGCUUCUCCACACUUGUGCCUUAUCCUUGAUCUUGAUCUUUACUUGUUGCUAAGACACCAAACUUAGAGCAAAUUAUAGCAUAAUGGCACAAAAGAAACUCCUACUCUAGUAACCACUAAAGGAUGCCAAUUGGAAAGCACUACCACGCCUACCAGUUGAAAGAUUACUAAUAAAAAGAAAUACACAUGAUGGAUCACUACUAGGCACCUCACAAUCUAGUUAAUCAAUAAACAACUCCAUGGUAUCAAUUUGAAUGCAUCUAUAACCACCAAAUAGCAAAUACCAAGGAAGAUCAACAUUAUCUAAUGAGCAAAAGUGUCACACCCGGAUUUAGGGAGUCCCAAACCCUGGCGCAAAACUUCACCAAGUGUGCUGGGAUUAAGUGUUGCACAUAUGAUGACUCAUGGUACAGAAACGAAUGUCACAUCUUUAAUAUAUAACGGAGUUCUAUACAAAAUAGUUAAAUAAUUCUAUCAUACAAAGACAACGAUCCAGCAACCCGAAGUUGGCUGGGAGACGACGGCCUAGACCACUAACGAACUCACCACAUCAUCCUUCAUGUGUCUCAUCCUGCGGUACCUGUUCUUGACCUGGGGGGACUAUGAGUACAACAAGGAUGAGCUCACAUACAUUCGUCGCUCAACAAGUUGUGGGGAAUAAUAUGCAUGAUCUCACCAAAGGUCACUACACGACGGUUGAUCUUUAGCGACCCUUAUUUGGGACCGACGGUUGGUCGCUAAAAGUUAUGAACCGACGGUUGGUCGCUAAAUGCGUUUAUAGCGACGGUCUAUGGGUCGCUAAAAGUCUAGAAAUUUAACGACUUAUGGUCGGUCGCUAUAGAGGUAAGUGUGUAACCGAUGGUGGGUCGUUAUAGGGGUAUGUGAUUUUUAUGUUUCUUAUUUACUCACCAAAGCCCAUCUAAAGGCCUACUAAACAAACAAACAAACCCUAUUCCAAGCGCGCAGCCGCCGUCACUUCUCCCAUGGCCGCCCCCUCCCUCAGCCGUGGAGGGUGCCGCCGCCACCUCACCCUUGAUGCUCGCCAUCUCCCUAGCCGCCAUCUCCCUCAUGGCGCCAAGCCCAUGGCUUUCCUGGUGCUCGCCUCUCCCAGCCGUUCCUAUCUCCAGCGCUGGCUGCCAUCUCCUCCACGAGGUGUCUUCUCUGUCGCUACUCCCUGCGUGAUUCCCUUGGCCGGCGUCCUCGACUACUCAGCCAUGGAGGUCGCUGCCCCUUCUUUUCCUCAUCUUCCUCCAUCGGUUCUGAGCUCGGCGCCCCUGCUCCCUGCUCCUGUCCCUCCCAUGGACGCCGCCCCCUCCCUCAGCUCACUCCCUCUAGCUGCCAUGGAGCUCGCCCCUGCCCAAGUCCGGUUGCCUCUGUUUCCCCCUAUCUCUGUUGGCGGCUGGCGUCCCAUCUCCCGUGCGUUGGACGGCCGUCGCUUCGUUCUCAUCGCUGGCAUUUGUCCCUGCUCCAGCUAGUUCUCAUUGCCAUGCCCCUGUUCCCUAGGUCCGAGCUCGCCCAACUCCCUAGCCAUGUCUGCUCGCCCCUCUCUGUCUCUCUGCGAGCAGCAGCAUGCCGGAGAAGACCUGUGUCCUCGACGCGCGCCAGGUGUUUGAUGGGAGGUUUGAACUGGAGUUCAUCAUUAUUUUCGCUAUUUGUGGGCUUCUCUAGUUAUUACGCAACUCGUAGGAAGUGGGACGGGGCAGUAAUUCCGCAACUGGCCGUAUAUCAUUUUUUAUUUAUUAAGCUUCAAAACCAAAGCGCAACAAUCUUCAUGUUCUUCGCUCAGGGUGCAGAUGGUUCUCGGGGACGUGGUUUACACGGCUGUGCCGUUCUACAAGAGGGUGCUGAUGGUCGAAGGUAUGUUUGUUCACAUCCCUACGUCUGUUUACUGCAAGGAGCAGAUGGUGACUAGGGGCCAUCGGACAUAGUUCACAUGAUCGUUACCUGAUCAGUUACAGUCUAUCUAUAGAUAACAAGAUGAGCAUUUGAGACCAAGAGACCAACAAUACCUUAGUCCAACAUUUCCUGAACCUGCUUAUCAAUUUCGUCCUUUUUAUUGGGGGUGUAUACCUAUAUGGUCUUAUCCUGGUUGUGCUCCCAACAAUAGAGGUGUAGCGCGAUCAACUUUAUGCUGAGGUGGAAGACCUUGUGGCUUGUCAAAUAGAUGCUAAUAUUUUUCUAACAAUAGUUUGAUACUUUUAGGAACUGCAACCUCAAUAUGGUCAUCAAUUAUAUGUAAUUCCAAUAUAUAUUCGACAGCCUCUUGCUUGAUUAAAGACUCCAACUGCAAGCUAGAAAUACCAAUACAGGUCUGAACCUUGGGCAGCACCGGUACCCCUGUAACUGAAUCUUUCGAUGGAUGGUCAUGUUCAAAUUCCAACCACUUAGCAGCCCAUGCGCUAAGUUCCAUGCGCAUUUGACGCUUCCUGCCUUAGACGCUGCUGAAGCUCCAUGCGCUUCCUGCCUCUUCGUCAGCCUUGCUGGUUACACAGAAGACGCAUUUGGCUUGUUGGUGCUGCUCCUCGUGCGAGAGAAGGAGCCAGUAGUGCCACCACUGUCCAGCAGCUUGAGGACUUCAAGGUCGGUGGCUAGUGCAGCCCCCGCCCAAAGCUUAGCUGACUUCUGCAAGGAUUCCUCCUCUUCAGCUGCACACGGUCUCCUGAAUAUUCUACCUAACAUGUUGUUUCUCUAAGGCUACUAUGUGAUCUUUUUGUUAGUCACAAUCUAUUAGUUAGAAUCAUAGAGAUCCUUAGAAGCAUAGCAAAAUCACUUUCUGAGUCUUGGUCUUUCCUUUCAAGAGUGGACAAUCAGACCAUAGUUGAUAUGCAUCAAGCACUACCAGUAUCUUAUAUUGUUUGUGUAAUGUGUAUGAUUUUUUUUCAUGGCUUCUUAAACUGUAUGACCCUAGAAAUCUAAACUUUUGGGGCUAUUCAGGUGCAUGUACAUCUACUAACAGUCAUUUAAAAACUUAUAAUAUUUUAGUCAGAUUAGAUUACAUAUGCUUUUAGCAUUUGUUUUAUUGUUUAAGAUGGCCCUAGAACUCAUUCAGUUUGAUGCCAUGUUUGAUCCUUAUGUUAAAUGUCGGUCUCCACCAAAGAUACUUGUCAUCUUGAAUCCUCGAUCUGGACAUGGUAGAUCUAGCAAAGUUUUUCAUGGAAAAGUGGAACCCAUAUUUAAGGUAUGUCUAGCUGAGUAGAAGCAUGCAUCUUAUCUCAAGAUUGGAUCUGUGCUGUCGCUUCUACUAGGAACUUUGGUAUGAUCUAGUCAUGCUUCCGAAGAUCAUAUUUAGUCGGGUGUUUCAUACAACCUAAGAUGUUUAUAAAUGAGUUGUAGACAAUUUUAUAAGCUUUCUAGAAAUUCUUGGAUCACCUGUUUUGGAUGCCUAAAUCUCCAGUUAUGGAGUUUUGAAGUGAGUAGUCGAAUUCCGUCCAAAUCUGGACAACAUUAUCAUUUAAUACUGAUUGACCUUUUUAAGUGUCUAAUCUCAUGGUGGUGAUAAUACCAAAGUUGUAUAGGAUUUCUUAGGCUUUCCAUAAAGUCUUAGUUCACUAUUUUUGGAUGAAUAUUUUGUGAGUUAUGAACAAAACAAUUGACUACUAUGUGCUGUCCAGAAAAUCUGCAAUUGAGCACUUGAUUUUGUUCUUGUUUGGCUAAAUAGGAAUAAUUAGUUUUUGAUUCUUGCAUUGAUACAAUAUGAUGAUAUGCACUAGCAUUCAACUUCUGAAUUUUCACAUCUAAUAUCGAGUUUUUGGUGUUUUGGUAGGUUUUUGUGCAUGGAAGAUGACAAUGAGGUCACUUGAGAGUCACCUGUGGCUGAUGAAUGGGAUAUGCUAU